rnacentral:rRNA from 1 species
UUAAGCGACUAAGCGUACACGGUGGAUGCCCUGGCAGUCAGAGGCGAUGAAGGACGUGCUAAUCUGCGAUAAGCGUCGGUAAGGUGAUAUGAACCGUUAUAACCGGCGAUUUCCGAAUGGGGAAACCCAGUGUGAUUCGUCACACUAUCAUUAACUGAAUCCAUAGGUUAAUGAGGCGAACCGGGGAACUGAAACAUCUAAGUACCCCGAGGAAAAGAAAUCAACCGAGAUUCCCCCAGUAGCGGCGAGCGGACGGGGAGCAGCCCAGAGCCUGAAUCAGUGUGUGUGUUAGUGGAAGCGUCUGGAAAGGCGUGCGAUACAGGGUGACAGCCCCGUACACAAAAAUGCACAUAUUGUGAGCUUGAUGAGUAGGGCGGGACACGUGGUAUCCUGUCUGAAUAUGGGGGGACCAUCCUCCAAGGCUAAAUACUCCUGACUGACCGAUAGUGAACCAGUACCGUGAGGGAAAGGCGAAAAGAACCCCGGCGAGGGGAGUGAAAAAGAACCUGAAACCGUGUACGUACAAGCAGUGGGAGCACGCUUAGGCGUGUGACUGCGUACCUUUUGUAUAAUGGGUCAGCGACUUAUAUUCUGUAGCAAGGUUAACCGAAUAGGGGAGCCGAAGGGAAACCGAGUCUUAACUGGGCGUUAAGUUGCAGGGUAUAGACCCGAAACCCGGUGAUCUAGCCAUGGGCAGGUUGAAGGUUGGGUAACACUAACUGGAGGACCGAACCGACUAAUGUUGAAAAAUUAGCGGAUGACUUGUGGCUGGGGGUGAAAGGCCAAUCAAACCGGGAGAUAGCUGGUUCUCCCCGAAAGCUAUUUAGGUAGCGCCUCGUGAAUUCAUCUCCGGGGGUAGAGCACUGUUUCGGCAAGGGGGUCAUCCCGACUUACCAACCCGAUGCAAACUGCGAAUACCGGAGAAUGUUAUCACGGGAGACACACGGCGGGUGCUAACGUCCGUCGUGAAGAGGGAAACAACCCAGACCGCCAGCUAAGGUCCCAAAGUCAUGGUUAAGUGGGAAACGAUGUGGGAAGGCCCAGACAGCCAGGAUGUUGGCUUAGAAGCAGCCAUCAUUUAAAGAAAGCGUAAUAGCUCACUGGUCGAGUCGGCCUGCGCGGAAGAUGUAACGGGGCUAAACCAUGCACCGAAGCUGCGGCAGCGACGCUUAUGCGUUGUUGGGUAGGGGAGCGUUCUGUAAGCCUGCGAAGGUGUGCUGUGAGGCAUGCUGGAGGUAUCAGAAGUGCGAAUGCUGACAUAAGUAACGAUAAAGCGGGUGAAAAGCCCGCUCGCCGGAAGACCAAGGGUUCCUGUCCAACGUUAAUCGGGGCAGGGUGAGUCGACCCCUAAGGCGAGGCCGAAAGGCGUAGUCGAUGGGAAACAGGUUAAUAUUCCUGUACUUGGUGUUACUGCGAAGGGGGACGGAGAAGGCUAUGUUGGCCGGGCGACGGUUGUCCCGGUUUAAGCGUGUAGGCUGGUUUUCCAGGCAAAUCCGGAAAAUCAAGGCUGAGGCGUGAUGACGAGGCACUACGGUGCUGAAGCAACAAAUGCCCUGCUUCCAGGAAAAGCCUCUAAGCAUCAGGUAACAUCAAAUCGUACCCCAAACCGACACAGGUGGUCAGGUAGAGAAUACCAAGGCGCUUGAGAGAACUCGGGUGAAGGAACUAGGCAAAAUGGUGCCGUAACUUCGGGAGAAGGCACGCUGAUAUGUAGGUGAAGUCCCUCGCGGAUGGAGCUGAAAUCAGUCGAAGAUACCAGCUGGCUGCAACUGUUUAUUAAAAACACAGCACUGUGCAAACACGAAAGUGGACGUAUACGGUGUGACGCCUGCCCGGUGCCGGAAGGUUAAUUGAUGGGGUCAGCGCAAGCGAAGCUCUUGAUCGAAGCCCCGGUAAACGGCGGCCGUAACUAUAACGGUCCUAAGGUAGCGAAAUUCCUUGUCGGGUAAGUUCCGACCUGCACGAAUGGCGUAAUGAUGGCCAGGCUGUCUCCACCCGAGACUCAGUGAAAUUGAACUCGCUGUGAAGAUGCAGUGUACCCGCGGCAAGACGGAAAGACCCCGUGAACCUUUACUAUAGCUUGACACUGAACAUUGAGCCUUGAUGUGUAGGAUAGGUGGGAGGCUUUGAAGUGUGGACGCCAGUCUGCAUGGAGUCGACCUUGAAAUACCACCCUUUAAUGUUUGAUGUUCUAACGUGGACCCGUGAUCCGGGUUGCGGACAGUGUCUGGUGGGUAGUUUGACUGGGGCGGUCUCCUCCUAAAGAGUAACGGAGGAGCACGAAGGUUGGCUAAUCCUGGUCGGACAUCAGGAGGUUAGUGCAAUGGCAUAAGCCAGCUUGACUGCGAGCGUGACGGCGCGAGCAGGUGCGAAAGCAGGUCAUAGUGAUCCGGUGGUUCUGAAUGGAAGGGCCAUCGCUCAACGGAUAAAAGGUACUCCGGGGAUAACAGGCUGAUACCGCCCAAGAGUUCAUAUCGACGGCGGUGUUUGGCACCUCGAUGUCGGCUCAUCACAUCCUGGGGCUGAAGUAGGUCCCAAGGGUAUGGCUGUUCGCCAUUUAAAGUGGUACGCGAGCUGGGUUUAGAACGUCGUGAGACAGUUCGGUCCCUAUCUGCCGUGGGCGCUGGAGAACUGAGGGGGGCUGCUCCUAGUACGAGAGGACCGGAGUGGACGCAUCACUGGUGUUCGGGUUGUCAUGCCAAUGGCACUGCCCGGUAGCUAAAUGCGGAAGAGAUAAGUGCUGAAAGCAUCUAAGCACGAAACUUGCCCCGAGAUGAGUUCUCCCUGACCCUUUAAGGGUCCUGAAGGAACGUUGAAGACGACGACGUUGAUAGGCCGGGUGUGUAAGCGCAGCGAUGCGUUGAGCUAACCGGUACUAAUGAACCGUGAGGCUUAACCUU